rnacentral:sRNA from 1 species
GCUGGGUGCAGUGGUGCAUGCCUGUAAUCCCAGCCUCUUGGGAGGCUGAGGCAGGAGGAUCUUAAGAGUUCAAAGCCAGCCUCAGCAAAAGUGAGGCACUAAGUAACCCAGUGAGACCCUGCCUCUA